UUUGUGAAAUUUACUUGAUAUGAGUAUUACAUUCAACGUAAUAUUAGUGAUCGUAUGAAACAGUUACGUGAAAAUUGCGAAGAAUUAAAGAAAAUUAAAGAAGAAAAAGGCGAUAAUUUCAUUACAUGGUUCACGAUGGUGCGAAUUUGUUUUUUGUGCAAGAAGAAAGCAACAAAAGAUGUAAAUUUUACAAUGCACAAAUUUCCAAAAAACGUGAGCAUUCGAGCACAAUGGUUGCAUGCCUGCAAAUUAUCUGAUAAGGACAAUGUGACGAAUGUAUACAUAUGCUCUGAUCAUUUUAUACAGAGUGACUAUAGACAUAGUACGGAUCUGCUGUGCCAAAAGAAAUGGUUAUUGAAACCAGAAGCAGUGCCUUCCAUUGGUGUUCCAAAUCGUCCAGCUACCAAACUGCAGUUCCAGUCAACAUUCAAGAAUGUUAAUCAAGAGAAACCAUCAUUGCCUUCGAUUGAUGCUCUUCCAACUUUCACAGCAGUUGCUUCUAAUGUCAAGGAAUCAGAGUUUGCAUCAACAUUCAAGGUUGUUAUUCAAAAGAAACCAUCAUUGCCUUCGAUUGAUGCUCUUCCAACUUUCACAGCAGUUACUUCUAAUGUCAGGGAACCAGAGUUUGCAUCAACAUUCAAGGAUGUUAUUCAAGAGAAACGUCAUGACAACGAACAGCAAAAUCUGUAUGCUACUCCGAAGAAACGGAGAUUUGCAGAGCCUCGGUACAUAUCCGAAAUUACAACUUCCGAUUUUUCAUCACCCAAGAAAGCCCGUAGAGUUAUUGAUAUGGUGAAGAAAACCUAUAAAGAGAAAUGUAAUUUGAUCCACAAUCUGCAGAAAAAAAAUCGGGCGCUGUGUAAACGCAUUACUACUUUAGAGGACUUGGUAACGCAUUUGCGUAAAGAAGCAUUAAUGUCAGAAGAAGGUGCAGACACUUUAAUGCAUGUUGCUCAUUGACGUUUAUUACAUUCCACUGUAACACAUUUUGUCAUCUCUAAAAAUAAAAUAACAGAACAUGAUGCCGGAGAAGAUGAAACACGUCUUAAGUAGGAAACUAAAAGGCAAGGGACAAUACUCGCCUGAACUCCGCAGUUUCGCACUUACAUUACAUUUUUACUCACCAAAAGCGUACAAUUAUGUAAGACAAAUGUGGGACAAUUUACUGCCAAACCCUUCUACCAUUCGUAGUUGGUAUAGAG